rfam:Stegodyphus mimosarum contig45045, whole genome shotgun sequence.
GCCUUCGUGGUGUAGUGGUCAGGACGCUCGACGCGUAUUCGAGAGGUCCGUGGUUCGAGUCCCGGCGAGGGCA